GGAAGGAUCAUUACAGAAUCGUCAACGGGUUGUUGCUGGUCCUCGAACGGGGACAUGUGCACGCUCUGUUUACACAUCCACUCACACCUGUGCACCCUCCGUAGUUCUGUGGUCUGGGGGACCCUGUCUUCCUGCCGUGGUUCUACGUCUUUACACACACACUGUAAUAAAGUCUUAUGGAAUGUACGCCGCGUCUAACGCAAUACAAUACAACUUUCAGCAACGGAUCUCUUGGCUCUCGCAUCGAUGAAGAACGCAGCGAAAUGCGAUAAGUAAUGUGAAUUGCAGAAUUCAGUGAAUCAUCGAAUCUUUGAACGCACCUUGCGCCCCUUGGCUAUUCCGAGGGGCAUGCCUGUUUGAGUAUCAUGAACACCUCAACUCUCAUGGUUCGCCGUGAUGAGCUUGGACUCUGGGGGUUUUGCUGGCCUGCGGUCGGCUCCCCUCAAAUGAAUCAGCCUCCCAGUGUUUGGUGGCAUCACGGGUGUGAUAAAUAUCUACGCUCGCGGUUGUCCGCCAGGUAACCUUUGGCGACAAAGGUUCGCUGGAGCUCACAGAUGUCUCUCCUCAGCGAGGACAGCUUUUUGAACGUUCGAUCUCAAAUCAGGUAGGACUACCCGCUGAACUUAAGCAUAUCAAUAAGCGGAGGAAA
rnacentral:sRNA from 1 species